GAUGAACGCUGGCGGCGUGCCUAAUACAUGCAAGUCGAGCGAACAGAUGAGGAGCUUGCUCCUCUGACGUUAGCGGCGGACGGGUGAGUAACACGUGGAUAACCUACCUAUAAGACUGGGAUAACUUCGGGAAACCGGAGCUAAUACCGGAUAAUAUAUUGAACCGCAUGGUUCAAUAGUGAAAGACGGUUUUGCUGUCACUUAUAGAUGGAUCCGCGCCGCAUUAGCUAGUUGGUAAGGUAACGGCUUACCAAGGCAACGAUGCGUAGCCGACCUGAGAGGGUGAUCGGCCACACUGGAACUGAGACACGGUCCAGACUCCUACGGGAGGCAGCAGUAGGGAAUCUUCCGCAAUGGGCGAAAGCCUGAUGGAGCAACGCCGCGUGAGUGAUGAAGGUCUUCGGAUCGUAAAACUCUGUUAUUAGGGAAGAACAAAUGUGUAAGUAACUAUGCAUGUCUUGACGGUACCUAAUCAGAAAGCCACGGCUAACUACGUG
rnacentral:rRNA from 1 species